rnacentral:rRNA from 1 species
AGUGAACGCUGGCGGUAGGCCUAACACAUGCAAGUCGAACGGCAGCACAGUAAGAGCUUGCUCUUACGGGUGGCGAGUGGCGGACGGGUGAGGAAUACAUCGGAAUCUACUUUUUCGUGGGGGAUAACGUAGGGAAACUUACGCUAAUACCGCAUACGACCUACGGGUGAAAGCAGGGGAUCUUCGGACCUUGCGCGAUUGAAUGAGCCGAUGUCGGAUUAGCUAGUUGGCGGGGUAAAGGCCCACCAAGGCGACGAUCCGUAGCUGGUCUGAGAGGAUGAUCAGCCACACUGGAACUGAGACACGGUCCAGACUCCUACGGGAGGCAGCAGUGGGGAAUAUUGGGCAAUGGGCGCAAGCCUGAUCCAGCCAUGCCGCGUGAGUGAAGAAGGCCUUCGGGUUGUAAAGCCCUGUUGUUGGGAAAGAAAAGCAGCAGGUUAAUACCCCGCUGUUCUGACGGUACCCAAAGAAUAAGCACCGGCUAACUUCGUG